rnacentral:sRNA from 1 species
CUAUUUGUACCUAUUCUCCACCUUUUCCCUCUUCUCAAUUGACUCUUUCUCUUUAUCUUCAGCCAACUCUCUUUAUCUUUAGCCAAACCACUUGAUUCUUUCCUUUCUCUACAUCUUCUCCAAUCUCAUUCUCUUCCAACUCUUUUUCUUUUCCUUUCUAUACAUCUUCUUCAAUCUCAUACUCUUCCAACUCUUUUUCUUUCUCAUUCUAUUUUUUUCUCUCCAUCUUCUUUAGUAUCAGACUCAUUUUCUCUCUCUGCCUUUCCAUCUUCAUCGAUAUCAGACUCAUUCUCUUUCUCUGCCUCUCCAUCUUCUUCGAUCACAUCCUCCUCUAAUUUAGGCUCAUUUUCUUUGUUUCACCUGCAUCUUCUUCGAACUCAUUCUCUUCCAACUCAGUCUCAUCUCCUUCCUCUUCAUCUCCCUCUCCAAUUCAUUCUCUUCCAACUCAUUAUCUUUCUCUUUCUCUCUAUGUUUGUUCUCACCUUCUUUACUUAUACAUUAUUUUAAUAUCUUCACUAUUCUCUGAAACUGCCUCGACCACACUAUAACUAACAUUGCAUUAUAAAGCUUUUCAAAAAAUAUUUACUUGUUUUCAUGAAUGAUAAGCUUUGUCCAACCAUCAACAAUCACAGUAUUUUUGGUUAAGUUUUUUUGAUAAAAAUGUGUAACAAUU